rnacentral:rRNA from 1 species
GCUAACAGCCAUAUCACGUUGAAAGCACCGAUUCUCAUCCGAUCAACGAAGUUAAGCAACAUUGAGCCUAGUUAGUACUUAGAUGGGUGACCGCUUGGGAAACCUAGGUGCUGUAAGCA